AUGGGAUUUGAUAGUGACACACUCACAACAACAUUUGGAGCAGUUAUCUGGGAUCAUAGGGGAAAAUUUAUAGCGGCUGCUAAUGAAAAGAUAGGCCUUUGCUUUGACUCGUUCACAGCAGAAGCAAUUGCAGUGAGGUUUGGUUUGAAUAUUGCUAAUACCGUCGGAUGCAGUAAGAUUGAAGUGAAUUCGGAUAGCAUGGAGGUGGGGAAUGCGUUGAGCCAAGGGUGUUCUCCUUCAGUCGCUUCAUCAAUUAUAGAUUGUUGUUAUUUCAUGUCAUUAGAUUUUUCCCAUGCCACUUAUGAUCAUUGUAAUAGAGAGCGUAAUCGAGUAGCUCAUGAACUGGCAAAGUUAUCUAGGUUUUCUCCUCCGAGUGUUUGUAUGGAUAAUGCUCCUGAUGAGGUUAUCCCUUUACUUGUAAACGAUGCACUAGUAGAAAACAGGGCUUUCGUUCGGGCCUGGCCAGCCCAUUAG
rnacentral:rRNA from 1 species